GACGUAGGGGGCCAGCGUUGUUCGGAAUUACUGGGCGUAAAGGGUUCGUAGGCGGUGCGGCAAGUUGGGAGUGAAAUCUCUGGGCUUAACCCAGAGGCUGCUUCCAAAACUGCUGUGCUUGAGUGUGGGAGAGGCGCGUGGAAUUGCAGGUGUAGCGGUGAAAUGCGUAGAUAUCUGCAGGAACACCCGUGGCGAAAGCGGCGCGCUGGACCGAUACUGACGCUGAGGAACGAAAGCUAGGGGAGCAAACGGG
rnacentral:rRNA from 1 species